CACGGAGUUAGCCGAUCCUUAUUCUUCCAGUACAUUCAAGCCUCUACACGUAGAGGUGUUUAUUCCUGGACAAAAGCAGUUUACAACCCAUAGGGCAGUCAUCCUGCACGCGGCAUGGCUGGUUCAGAGUUCCCUCCAUUGACCAAUAUUCCUUACUGCUGCCUCCCGUAGGAGUCUGGUCCGUGUCUCAGUACCAGUGUGGGGGAUUCUCCUCUCAGAGCCCCUAGACAUCGUUGCCUUGGUAAGCCGUUACCUUACCAACUAGCUAAUGUCACGCGAGCCCAUCCAUAUCCUAUAAAUAUUUAACAACAUCUCGAUGCCGAGUCGCUGUGUCAUGCGGUGUUAAUCCGAUUUUCACCGGGCUAUCCCCCUGAUAUGGGUAGGUUGCUCACGCGUUACGCACCCGUGCGCCACUCUCACUAAAAUUAAGCAAGCUUAAUUUAGAUCCCGUCCGACUUGCAUGUAUUAGGCCUGCCGCUAGCGUUCAU
rnacentral:rRNA from 1 species